UACGAAGGGGGCUAGCGUUGCUCGGAAUUACUGGGCGUAAAGGGUUCGUAGGUGGCUUGCUAAGUCAGACGUGAAAUCCCUCAGCUUAACUGGGGACUGCGUCUGAUACUGGCGAGCUUGAGUGCAGGAGAGGAACGCAGAAUUCGAGGUGUAGCGGUGAAAUGCGUAGAGUAUCUGGAGGAGUACCGGUGGCGAAGGCGGCGUCUGGACUGCAACUGACACUGGAUGAACGGAAAGCCAGGGGAGCAAACGGG
rnacentral:rRNA from 1 species